CAAAGUUUUGGUCCUAAACUUGCCCUUGUUUUUUAUCAAAAUUACACAUGCAAGCAUCUACACACCAGUGAGAAUGCCCACACCCCCUAAACAGCUUCUUGGAGCGGGUAUCAGGUUCAAAACUAAGCCUAAAACACCUUGCUACGCCACACCCCCACGGGCCCUCAGCAGUGAUUAACAUUAAGCCAUAAGCGAAAGCUUGACUUGAUUAUGAUUAAUAAACGCCGGUAAAUUUCGUGCCAGCCACCGCGGUUAUACGAAAGACUAAAGACAAAGGCCUUCGGCGUAAAGUGUGACUAGAGAUACGCCAAAAAACCUAGAGGAAAAUUACCAUAUAAGCUGUAAAACGCCCAUAUAAGUAAGAACCCCAAACCUCUAAGCAAGCGGCUACUUAAUUCACGAAAGCUAGGAAACAAACUGGGAUUAGAUACCCCACUAUGCCUAGCCAUAAACACAGACAACACACAUACAAUAUUGUCCGCCCGAGAACUACAAGCGAAAAACUCAAAACUCCAAGGACUUGGCGGUGCUCCAUAUCGCCCUAGAGGAGCCUGUCCUAUAAUCGAUACCCCACGUUAAACCUUACCAUCCUUUGCCCCACAGCCUAUAUACCGCCGUCGUCAGYCUACCUUAUGAAAGAAAAGCAGUAAGCAAAGCCGUUAUCAACGAAUACGUCAGGUCAAGGUGUAGCUUAUAAGAUGGAAGAGAUGGGCUACAUUUUCUGCACCAGAACACACGAAUGACCCAGUGAAACAGGCGUUUGAAGGAGGAUUUAGUAGUAAGACAGGCAAGACACCCUGUCUAAAACUCGCUCUGGAGCGCGCACACACCGCCCGU
rnacentral:ncRNA from 1 species